rnacentral:lncRNA from 1 species
AGAUUCCGUUCUUUCUUAACCUUCGUGAAACCCUAAGUCUCCCCAAUUAUUUUCUUGAUGCCUGGAUUCUGUCUUUCUGAUAAACCCUAGAAUCGACGUCAAAAUUGGAUUUUCUUGGUUGAUUUAGGGAGAGGGAGCCUCGUACAUGUUAUCUGAUCUCUUCGGAGUCGAUGAUGUCGUCAUCGAUGAGCAGGAUGGAACGGGUGUUAUCGGAUAGGAGUAAAUUUGCCAGCUUAAAGUAAGAGCGUGAAGAGAUGCGUAAAUAGUGUUUUUAUGAUUGGAUCGGGUGUGGUGUAGGUGUGGUUGAUUUCUUGGAUUGGGAUUGUUUGGUGUAAGGGCGUCCAGUUAUGGAUGUACUGCGGAGUUGGAAUGGUAGAUUAAGGUGCUGAUUAAUUCCAUCGAACAGAUCAUGUGCAUAUUUUGUGGUAGAAGGUGGUGUGACUGAGCGGUACUGAUGGACUUUUGCUAUUAUUUUGAUAAUCAAAUGGGUAUUAUUGGAUGAAAGUAAAUCUGCAAUUUUUCUAGAGAACUUUUCUUGGUGAUGAGUAAGAGCAAGAAUUAAAUAAAAGAAGAUUUGGAUUGUGCGUAGAAGGCAAGGGUGAUUUCUUGGAUUAGGGUUAUUUGGUGUUUCAGAGACCAUUUUUAAUUGACUUAGAGAGCUGAAUGAUAGAUUAACACAGAGAUUAUUUAUAUCAAACGGAUCUUGUGCGUUAUUUGAGGGUGAGCCCUUGGCGCAACUGAAAGGUUGCUCCACUGUGAUCUGGAGGUCAUGGGUUUAAAACAUGAAAGCAUUUUCUGGUUGAAUAGGUUACAUACAUCUGAUCCUCCACUAGACCCCGCGAUAGUGGGAGUGCACUACGCCGUCCCUUUUUUUUAGAUCUUAUACUAAAAUGUGGCAAGUCUGAGAGGUACUGAGCUAGUGAUGAGUGAUGUUUAUAGUUGUGUCUGGUGCUGUUAAAAGGAGUUUAUGUUUAUAGAAAAUGUCGAUUAGAAAAUUACAUACAUCUAGAUUUGGUUUUAACAUCUAAGGUAUAAACAUUCAAAGAUCAUAAAUACAACCACUGUUGCAUUCCUUUGUAUUUUAAGUAUUUGUUGAGGUACUUGAAUGCUCAUGUGUAAAUAGUAUUAAAAGGACCACUUGUCUCACUUAGUGGUUAUUUCCCCUGAUAAUUACAGGAUCAUGCUCAAGAUCCCACACUUUCUAGUAUGCUAUAUAUUGUUAUUACGGGCUGUUGAUUUAUCUUUGUAAGUGUGUUAGCAUAAGCACACUAUGAUUUAGGACCAUAAUGUUGACAAAGUUAUGGGCUUCUCAACAAGUGAUGCCUUGUUUUAGAUGGAUAACUAGAGUUCUUGUAAUAGCAAUGUCAUGCAAGUAUUCCAUAUCACUGUUAGCUAAAUGUCAAAAAGAGUAAAUGGCGUUAGAAAUUCACCCAUCAUCCUUUGUGUCAUGCCAAGAAUAGUGAAUUCCCAAAGGAAACCUAGAUUGACCAAAUUUAUAGAUAUAUUCUGCAAUAUUUUGUGGUUGUGAUGAUAAUUUACGGACUAAGUAUGUAAUAUAACACCAGUGUAUAUGAUGUAAAAAUAAUGCUGAAUGAUAACUACAGUUAUAUGCCAUUUUUUAAGCAUUCUCUUAGUUUAAGUCUUUUUACAAGUACAAUUGUACUGAUAGCAGUAUUUUCUUUUUAAAUUAGGGUUUCGAGAGGCAUCUAGUGGUACCUAAUGUUGUGUGUUUUUGUGCCUACACUCACAAUAUAUGAGGUAACUAUAUAUAUCACACAUGCUUAGACUAGAUAACUUUCAUCUUGCAUGCUUUCCUUUUUACUCAUCCUAUAAAUGCAUCUCUACUUACGAUUUGUUAGACAUCACUGUUAUCUAUCAAUGCAACUUAUCUAAGAUGUGUGUGUGUGUGUGGUAUAUCUUCUUCCAUGAACCAGGAAGGGUAUUUGAUUCAGUUCUUUGAGAAUAGAACUGUCAAAUAAAUGAGACAUCUCUUUUUCAGUGGUGAGAUCCUCUGUUCAUCAAAUGAACCUGCUUGACUAUAAAUUAUUGAUCUAUGAGGCAACUGACUCAAAGACCCUACCAUCAAAGGUAUUCUUUGCUUAUUUCAGGGUACUGCUAUAAUGCUGCAAGAACUUAGCAGUCUACUAAUUUUCUAUUCCUAAUUCAUGUCUUGGUGGGCUUAGGUUUGUAUAGUUAAAAUUUGCCAGUGGCUAUACAUAUGACCUAGAUAAAAUAAAGAAUCUUGAUAGAAGUGGAUAGAAUCCAAACAAUCUUGGUUGGCUGAAGUUUGAGAGUGGCUUGUUGUGUCCCUUCUCUGGCUUAUGAAAUGGGAGAUGUGAAAAUUAAGCCUAUUGAAUAACAAUACAUGCAGGUUGUGAUAGUCCUUGUCAUUUUUCUUUUUCUUUGAGGAACUUGUUUUCAAAUGUAUGUCCAGUUAAAAUAAGAUGUCAGAACUUUUUUUAUUAUUACUACCUCAUCCUUUAGAUGUGCAUGUAAUAUGUUCUUACAGUGUCCAUGCUUAUGUGUCCGCACCUUUGUGCCCACCUUUGGUUCAAAUACACAGCCUCAAAUUUUGUUAUGAUGUUGCCUCUUGUUUAUUAAAUUUCUUGUAUAUUUUUAACACUCUGUAAUUUUUAUCGUUCUGAACUGAAGUUGCAGAAAUCAAUCACCUGGGAAGUCCAGUAGGAGUUUUUUUCCAG